rnacentral:rRNA from 1 species
UACGUAGGGGGCAAGCGUUGUCCGGAUUCAUUGGGCGUAAAGAGCGUGUAGGCGGCCAGGUAGGUCCGUUGUGAAAACUCGAGGCUCAACCUCGAGACGUCGAUGGAAACCAUCUGGCUAGAGUCCGGAAGAGGAGAGUGGAAUUCCUGGUGUAGCGGUGAAAUGCGCAGAUAUCAGGAAGAACACCUAUGGCGAAGGCAGCUCUCUGGGACGGUACUGACGCUGAGGCGCGAAAGCGUGGGGAGCGAACAGG